GCUGGAACACUUGCUGCGGCUGCUGUUGCUGCUGCAGCUGCUGCUGUUGCUGCUGCAGCUGCUGCUGUUGCUGCUGUUGUCGC